rnacentral:rRNA from 1 species
UGGAGGAAAGUAGGGGAUCGUAAGACCUUGCGCUUUUGGAGCGGCCGAUGUCUGAUUAGCUAGUUGGUGGGGUAAUGGCCUACCAAAGCUUCGAUCAGUAGCUGGUCUGAGAGGACGACCAGCCACACUGGGACUGAGACACGGCCCAGACUCCUACGGGAGGCAGCAGUGGGGAAUUUUGGACAAUGGGCGCAAGCCUGAUCCAGCAAUGCCGCGUGAGUGAAGAAGGCCUUCGGGUUGUAAAGCUCUUUCAGUCGAGAAGAAAAGGUUGUGACAAAUAAUCACAACUUAUGACGGUAUCGACAGAAGAAGCACCGGCUAACUACGUGCCAGCAGCCGCGGUAAUACGUAGGGUGCAAGCGUUAAUCGGAAUUACUGGGCGUAAAGGGUGCGCAGGCGGCUUCGUAAGUCAGAUGUGAAAUCCCCGGGCUUAACCUGGGAACUGCGUUGAAACUACAAGGCUAG